AUGCCUGCCCCCAGCACCCAGGGCUGCCUGCUGGGGCAGCUCAGCAUGGCCCAAGCACACCUCUGUAGGGAACCUGGAAUAUUCUUCAUUUCUUUAGCCAAAUAUCAAUCUUUUGAGACUGAAAUCACACAGGCAGGAAAUGAAAAUUGUACCAGCUUUCCCUAUAGGCACCUAGCCACCCCCACCUUCUCCCUCUACCCAUGUAUUUUCCAGUGUUCUCCUUUCUUUCAAUGCACUUUGCUUGCAUUAUUAUUUUUUUUAGUAGUCCUUUAUAGAGCUCAGUCAGGAAGGGGAUUGGGGCAGAAAGCCAAGCCCCCAGCAUUGGGAGCGGCCAGGCCACAGCUGCUACUACCCCAGGCCUACGGCUGUAAGUGAAAGACAGCACUGGCCCUUGGCCAGUGUCCUACCCUGCCCAGCUCCAAGGACGAGCUCUGAGUAUGGAUCACUGGGCCCAAGGCUUUUGCCUUUGGGGCUCUGGUUGGAGGGUCAGUGUCUGUGACUGAAUAAAGUUCCAUUUUGUGG